GGGGAGUGAUAAAGCAAGUCUUAGAUGACUUCUGUGAAGCAGAGUUAUGGGAAUAAAAUAAUCAAAUAUAUAGCAUAGUGAGAAGCACUAUAGUAAAAUGCAUAAGUGAGCACUAUAUGGCCUAGAUAUCUGGAUCUGAGUCCUGGCUUCACAACCCGUUAUCUGUCAUUUGUUAAAUGAUAAAGUUAUAUAACCUCUUUAUGCAUCUACUUCGUAUCUCUGAUGAUAGUGUCUUUCCUCAUAGCAAGAUUUGGAGAAUUAAAAGAAAUAAUACACUUACAGCCUGGAUAAUACAGUCCCUCCUUAUCUGCUGGGGAUAUGUCCCAAGAGUUCCAGUGGAUGCCUGAAACUGUGGAUAGUACCAAACCCAAGCACUGUGGUACCGUAGCAGUUGUUCUGAUCACCGAGGCAGUUAAACAGUGACUGACGGGCAUAUAGCAUAAACAAUGUGGAGAUGCUGAACAAAGAGAUGACUCACGUCCCAGCUGGGACAGAAUGGGUCCAUGCAAGAUUUCAUCACACUACUCAGAACGGACGAUUUAAAACGUAUGAAUUAUUUUUUCCUGGAAUUUUCAGUUGAAUAUUUUUGAACCAUGGAUAAAUGAAACCAUGAAAAGCAAAACCACCAAGAAGGGGAAACUACUGUAUUAAGAGUGAACCUAAGGGUGACCAUUGGUCACCACUGAGUUAUCCUUCCCUUCCUUAUCUGGCUGCUCACCUGAAGUAAAUUGAAGUAAACACAAAAUCAAAUAGAAAAAAUUGAAAUAUCAGUUUCUCAUUUUCCCCACGAAUGUGUUCAAAUAACUCAAGUUUUCAUUUGGUAAAACAUGGAGCCUCAAUUUCCUCGCCUAUUAACGGUAGUAAUAACUAACUUAUAGAGUUGUUACGACCAUUAAAUAAAAUUUGUGUCAAGUACCUAAUGAGAUUUAAGGAAUUUGCCCAAGGUAAAAAAAAAAAAAAAAAAAGGUGACAAAUUGCAGAGCCAGUAUUUAAAACUGGCAGUCUAAUCUCAGAGUAUCUGUUAAUACUUUGAUACUAUACUCUAUUGCCUCUUGAUGAAUUCCUUAACGUUUUCUUCUCUAACAUGUGUACAGCAGUCCCUACUUAUCUGCUGGGGGUAUGUCCCAAGAGCCUCAGUGGAUGCCUGAAACUGUCUGGCAUAUAGGAGGUGCCUGGAAUAUAGAAUAAGCAGCUAUUCCCAUGAUUGUUGUUAUGUCCUGGAGAGAGCUAUAUGUGUCCUUAGAGUAAGGAAAAGUGGCGAGUUGAACUUAGAAUAAAAAAAUAACGAUUUGAAGGAAGCCAUGGGUGGUUUAAAGAGAAGACUUCAAUAAUGCUUAUGGCAACACCAUGCAGAUUUUUAUUCACUUCUAGGGUUAUUCAAAUUCUCUCUUUCCUGCUAUUCUCCUUGUUAAAAUCUGCGUCCUUUUGAAGCAUAUGGGUAGGUAUCAUAUUGUGUGUGAAAAUUAAAGAGGCACUAGUCUAAAAAUACGUAACCUGGAUUCUAUUUCUGGUCUAGCUAUAGGCUCCUGUGAGUUUAUUAAUAAGUGUAUACCUCAAUUUCUUAUAUAUAGGUAUAAAACUAACUCCUUAUAGAAAUUUUGAAGUGAUGAUAUAGCAUCCAUAGAUCUCUGAGUUCUCUUGAAGUAAGCAGUGUAUAUAAGAAAGGUUUAUAUUAUUAGGUCAUAUAUGUUUCAGUUAAAAAAGUGCUUUGGUGACAGAAAAGCUAUGCUUAUAAACAGGAAACCGUGUUUAUUAAUGGAAAUUUACUUUUUUGUGAAUUUUUGAGUUUUUUAAUAUGUUUAAUAUAUUGUUUAAAUGAUGUUUAACUUUUUUAAAAUUAAAAAUUAUUGAACACUGAUGAAAGAAAUUUAGAAAAUACCUACCUUACAUCACCAUGUUGACUUCACGUUGCUAAGGCAGACAUGAGUUAGAUUAACAUUAUGUAAGGACUUAAAUUAAUUGUUUCAUUUGUCUUAUUAAAUGCAUUUUAUUAAUGGUUAAUGAUCUUAAUUCUCAACUUUGGAAUUAGAUAAAUGAGCAAAGAUUUUUACAUUAUUUUACCACUAGAUUCUUUUACUUUUUAUUAUCCUAGGAUAAUAGGAUAAUUAUUAUCCUAUAUAAUAAUUGUAUUAUAUAGGAUAAAUAUUGUAGGUUCCUCUACAAAUAUGUGAUAAUCAGACAUUCUAAUCAUCUGUGGAGGUUUAAAUAUAAAAUAUAUUUAAUAUGUAUAUACAUGUUAGGGCUUCGUCCCCACAAAUUCUGUUCAGUUAGCCUGCCUUGGGAGCUAUGCAUUUAAAAUGGUCCCCAGGUGACUCUAAAAUGUGUCCCUAAUUAAGCUGUCUUUUUGCUUUCAUAGAUCUUUUAAUUCUAAAGGUAAGGUUAGCUUUUCUCUAGUAUUAGCAGGCACAGCUGGAGAAAGAACAUGCUAUUGAUUCCCCAGAAAUUCUGUUUUCCAAUCUUAUGUGAGUUUGGCUAGAGUAGAAAAAUAAGAAUGUGGGAGAUAAUUAAUAGAGUAUCUAGAUUCCUGAGGGCCCAUCACCAUGUCCACCUAUGUACAAACUAGAACUGCUUUUGUGUUCUCUUGUUCUGCUUGAUCCUUACAACAUUUGCCCACCUGCUGAGUGAAUUUUUAAUACACCAGUGCGAGCAUUUAGAGUUCUUGUUAGAAAAUGGUUUGACAGCAGUACAUGAUAUCUCAGUUCAAUGUAGCAAAAAUAUUUGUGUUUUAUGAAGUAUUUUCUUGAACUUUGAUAUUUUUAGGUUUGCUUUUAUUAUAUUACUCCUUAAAUAUAAUAACUCAUUGUAAUAUCUUAAGUGUUAUUAUAAUGUAACAAAAAUGAUAUGUUCUUGAGAGGGGAUGGGGUUGCCUAACAUACGGCCAGGAGUGGGCAAAGCACUCUGUAAUCUGUAAAUAAUAAAAAAAAAAGUGGAAUCAAAUUAAAAAUCACCUUCAUGAAU
rnacentral:lncRNA from 1 species